rnacentral:rRNA from 1 species
CAAUAGCGUAUAUUUAAGUUGUUGCAGUUAAAAAGCUCGUAGUUGGAUUUCGGGUAGGAUUUGCCGGUCCGUCUUUGAGAUGUGUACUGGUAAGUCCUAUCUUCUUGUCGGGGACCAGCUCCUGGGCUUCACUGUCCGGGACUGGGAGCCGACGAAGUUACUUUGAGUAAAUUAGAGUGUUCAAAGCAAGCCUACGCUCUGAAUAUAUUAGCAUGGAAUAACACGAUAGGACUCUGGCUUAUCUUGUUGGUCUGUGAGACCAGAGUAAUGAUUAAGAGGGACAGUCGGGGACAUUCGUAUUUCAUUGUCAGAGGUGAAAUUCUUGGAUUUAUGAAAGACUAACAUCUGCGAAAGCAUUUGCCAAGGAUGUUUUCAUUAA